GACGCUGCUGGUGUCUGCAGGGACAGAUGAGUUGUGAUCGUCCACCUGGUUGUGUUUGGAGGAAGAAGAAGAGGGAGAAGAAGCAGCAGCAGCUCCUCACUGAGUGUGACACUCUAACUGACCAACACCUGCGAGCACUUUCAACUCAAACUAAAACAGCUCUACCUCCUCGGACCGUCCUGGUAAAGAGUUGUCACCUUUGGAUGUCUGUAGCCUGACGAUGGAGAAGUACGAGAAGAUAGGAAAGAUCGGAGAGGGCUCCUAUGGCGUCGUCUUCAAGUGCAGGAACAGAGACACGGGGCAGAUCGUCGCCAUCAAGAAGUUUGUGGAGUCAGAGGACGAUCCCAUCAUCAAGAAGAUUGCACUGAGGGAGAUCAGGAUGCUCAAGCAACUGAAACACGCCAACCUGGUGAACCUGAUCGAGGUGUUUCGACGUAAACGGAAGCUUCACCUGGUGUUCGAGUACUGCGACCACACGGUCCUCAACGAGCUGGACCGCCAUCCCAGAGGAGUUCCUGAGCACCUUGUAAAAAGUAUAACCUGGCAGACUCUUCAAGCGGUCAACUUCUGUCACAAACAAAAUUGCAUCCAUCGAGACGUCAAGCCAGAAAAUAUCCUCAUCACCAAACACCAAGUCAUCAAACUGUGUGACUUUGGGUUCGCCAGGAUUCUCACUGGUCCGUGUGAUUACUACACAGACUACGUGGCAACUCGUUGGUACCGAGCCCCUGAGCUGCUGGUGGGAGACACUCAGUACGGCCCCCCGGUGGACGUAUGGGCGAUUGGUUGUGUGUUUGCCGAGCUGCUGUCAGGGAUCCCUCUGUGGCCCGGGAAGUCUGACAUGGACCAGCUGUACCUGAUCAGGAAGACUCUGGGUGACCUGAUCCCUCGACACCAGCAGGUCUUCAGCAACAACCAGUUCUUCUGUGGAGUUUCAAUCCCAGAGCCACAAGAGAUGGAACCUUUGGAGCAGAAAUAUCCAAAUCUGUCACAUCAAGCUCUGAGUCUCAUGAAGGGUUGUCUGAAGAUGGACCCGUCUGAGCGUCUGACCUGUGAGCAGCUGCUCCAACACCCGUACUUUGACAGCCUGCGAGAGAAGAGCGAGAGCACCUCUCGAGAGCAGGACCGCUCCAGCAACAAGAGGACACGUUUACCUCGCAAGCACCUUCCUCCUGGGUAUUUGCCGCAGCUGACCAGCAGCAGCAUCUUCCCAGCGUUGGACAAUAAGAAGUACUACAACAACCUGCGCAAGUUCAACUAUCACCUACCGAACAUCUGAACACGAGUUGAAUGAAACCAUCGACACCAUCAGCGAGCAGUGUUUUCUGAAGACUCAGGAGACAAAGCACAAUCUGAUCACACCGUUUUUUUAAACAAGAGGGUUCAACCACUUUUUAAAGUUUAUGUUUCAUCACUUGGGGUGUGUCGGGUGGCUCUUGAUACUGAUGUCAGUCUAUGCACUAUUCCCCCGACAUGUGGACUCUACGCAUGUUGGUUUUACGUAUGUUGCCUAUGUUUCAAGCUGUUUUUGUUGUAUUUUGUAGAUGUGUGAAGACAAGGGGCGAUGUGCUGCUCUGCUCGUAGUCGCUGAGUAGAUUGAAGUCUUGUUAAAUCGAUCCAUGCCCAUAUGGAGUGAAAUGGAAACGAGAGCAGGACAAUCCACAAGGACAAGAACAUAAUAUUCUCAACACUGUAACACUGACCCAGGUGGUCAAACCCUCUGUGCAU